rnacentral:rRNA from 1 species
GACGAACGCUGGCGGCGUGCCUAAUACAUGCAAGUUGAGCGCUGAAGGUUGGUACUUGUACCAACUGGAUGAGCAGCGAACGGGUGAGUAACGCGUGGGGAAUCUGCCUUUGAGCGGGGGACAACAUUUGGAAACGAAUGCUAAUACCGCAUAAAAACUUUAAACAUAAGUUUUAAGUUUGAAAGAUGCAAUUGCAUCACUCAAAGAUGAUCCCGCGUUGUAUUAGCUAGUUGGUGAGGUAAAGGCUCACCAAGGCGAUGAUACGUAGCCGACCUGAGAGGGUGAUCGGCCACAUUGGGACUGAGACACGGCCCAAACGCCUACGGGAGGCAGCAGUAGGGAAUCGUCGGCAAUGGACGAAAGUCUGACCGAGCAACGCCGCGGGAGGGAAGAAGGUUUUCGGAUCGUAAAACUCUGUUGGUAGAGAAGAACGUUGGUGAGAGUGGAAAGCUCAUCAAGUGACGGUAACUACCCAGAAAGGGACGGCUAACUACGUG